rnacentral:rRNA from 1 species
UACGUAGUUAGCCGGGGCUUCUUAGUCAGGUACUGUCAAUUUCUUCCCUGCUGAUAGAGCUUUACAUACCGAAAUACUUCUUCACUCACGCGGCGUUGCUGCAUCAGGGUUUCCCCCAUUGUGCAAUAUUCCCCACUGCUGCCUCCCGUAGGAGUUUGGGCCCGUGUCUCAGUCCCAAUGUGGCCGAUCACCCUCUCAGGUCGGCUACUGAUCGUCGCCUUGGUGAGCCGUUACCUCACCAACCAGCUAAUCAGACGCGGGUCCAUCUUACACCGAUACAAUCUUUUCCGUCAGAGUCAUGCGACCCCAGGCGGGUUAUGCGGUAUUAGCAGCCCAUUUCUAACCUGGUUAUCCCCCUGUGUAAGGCCAGGUUCCCCCAGCGUUACUCACCCGUCGCCGCUCAGUCAAACUGUCUUCAAUCCGAAGAAAUCAGACAGAGUGCUUCGCUCGACUUGCAUGUGUUAAGCACGCCGCCAGCGUUCAUCCUGAGCCAGGAUA